rnacentral:lncRNA from 1 species
GAGAGCUCUCAUUUUCCCCCCUUGCUCGGGAUGGUGCCACAGGAGGCUGUGCGGGCCCCGCUCCGCUUCGAAUGGAUACAGUUAAGCUAAUGAUCUCGAGAGGAUAUCGUCCUGGAUAAGGGUGGAGCCUACGCCCAAAAACAAGAUUACCUGAAAGAGAAAAGAAAGGGGGAAAACACACAGAGAUACAGUCGGGGAGGCCACAUGAAGAUGGAGGCAGAGACAGGAGUGAUGAGCCUGCAAGCCAAGGAAUGCCAAGGGCUGCCAGCAGCCAUGAGAAGCUGAGAGACACAGAGAACGAGUCCUCUGCCAGAGCCUCCAGAAGGAACUAACCCUGUCAAUACCUUGAUUUCGGACUUCUGGACUCCAGAACUAUAACCCUCCUUCCUCCACCUCACAAAAACUCACAAGCUGCAACCCUUCUGAUGUCCACUCCCACACAAACCAGCUUCAGGCCUUUUUCAAGCUUGCUUGGAGAAUACUUCUGAGACUUUCCAAGAGUGCAGGAAAUUCUACCCCCCAAGUAUGGCACCUUGGCAUGCUGAGUAUUUUAAGCUGAAGGAAACAGAGAAAACCACAGAAGCAGAAAGGUCUUUCUGACCUCUCUUGAAGACCCUCAUGUGACAGGUGUCCUGCCCUACAUCCAGAGAGAAGGAAUGUUCCACAGACAGACUAAGAAGAAUCUGAAGAAUCAGGCCUUACUAAGUGCCCUCCAGUGGAUGCUGUGGGGCACCACCUCCUUGAGGACCAAGGCACUCCAGCUGCCAGGAAUUUGGCUGCUAACCUCACACAGCUGAGCCUUCCAUGAAAAUUGCUCUCUGCCAAAGAGAACUUCCUAGUCCAAGGUCAUGUCUACUCUCCAGAGAAAUGCACUGACCCUGCACUCUACAGGACACUAUGCUCAUUCCGAAUGCUAAGAUGUGACUGGAGUGAUUUGCACCCGGAUGCCUAGACUCGCCAUCUGCUCAAAGACUGCUCAGAAAGCCCUCCCAUGCAUUCCCCUGCUGCAUACCAGCCCACUCUGCCUGCAGCUGCUGUCUGCAGGACUUCAUAUCUAUGCCACACUGUGUAAAAGCUGUGCUUCAAGAAAUCACAAAAACAUUUUCCUGCACCUACUACACAGCCUGAGUGCGGCAUAAGUUGACCUUGCUUGCUAAGAAAUGGGGCAAGAAAUGCUUUUUUGUGUGUGUCAUGUCUGUUUGUUUUUCAAUUAAGAGAGGAAAGCAUUAGGCAGAUGGAAUGUACAUGUGAGGAUGAGGAGACAGAAAACAAGUAGCCCUUUCCAUCAAGAUAGAGGGUUUUCUGGGGUUGCUGGCUAUUGAAUGUCACUCCUGAUUUCUCUUUCCAAGGCACUGUACCACCAGCCUACUGAGAUUGUGUGGGAGCUUUCAUGGGGGUUGUAUUUCACUGAUGAAAAUAAAUUUUUUGCAUAAU